AAACAGCCAUGCAGGGGAGAUAGGUGCUAUGAUCCUGACGGUGGUUUUCCCACUUGAGGCUUAUUCACUGCACUCUGGAAGUGCUGACUCCUGCAAUUUUCCCAAAUUCAGAGAGACUUGACUGCGUAAUUUGUGGUAGUUGGGGACUGCAUUUGCAAUCUACCCUGA